GACGAACGCUGGCGGCGUGCCUAAUACAUGCAAGUCGAGCGGACCGAAGGGAGCUUGCUCCUUUAGGUUAGCGGCGGACGGGUGAGUAACACGUGGGCAACCUGCCCUGCAGACUGGGAUAACUUCGGGAAACCGGAGCCAAUACCGGAUAACACCGAAAACCGCAUGGUUUUCGGUUGAAAGGCGGCUUUUAGCUGUCACUGCAGGAUGGGCCCGCGGCGCAUUAGCUAGUUGGUGAGGGAACGGCUCACCAAGGCGACGAUGCGUAGCCGACCGGGGAGGGUGACCGGCAACACGGGGACUGAGACACGGCCCAGACUCCUACGGGAGGCAGCAGUAGGGAAUCUUCCGCAAUGGACGAAAGUCUGACGGAGCAACGCCGCGUGAGCGAAGAAGGUCUUCGGAUCGUAAAGCUCUGUUGUCAGGGAAGAACAAGUACCGUUCGAACAGGGCGGUACCUUGACGGUACCUGACGAGGAAGCCACGGCUAACUACGUGCCAGCCGCCGCAGUAA
rnacentral:rRNA from 1 species